AUAUCCAUAGCUCAACGGUAGAGCACUGGUCUCCAAAACCAGCUAUGAAGGUUCGAUCCCUUCUGGAUGUA
rnacentral:tRNA from 1 species